CAACUACUACUGCAAGUUCCUACUUCUGUCACCUACUGCUGUGCUGCAUUCCCUGCCCCAGAUCGAUCAGGUCCCCAACUCACAACGACCCAUGCAUCUGCUGAACCUGUGCUUUACUGAAAUCAUGCACACCCUAGGAUCAUCGCUGAUGCGCUGAAAAUCAAGUUGGAUCCACCCUUUGAUGAUACGGAAAUGCCAAGUGGUGAAAGACCAGGACACUGUUGAAUAUUCUGGUGAGUAAUCCCUCCGUUCCAAAAUAAAUACAGUUUUGUACGGUUCAUGUUCAACGUUUGACCGUUCGUCUUAUUUGAAAUUUUUUUAUUAGUAUUUUUUAUUGUUAUUAGAUGAUAAAAUAUGAAUAGUAGCAAUUAUGGGCGUCCACUGCUUCACAUGAUAAUCACAUCACUUUGGGUUACGCUACGCACGUCAUCAGCUUUCAUUAAUAGCCACUUGCUGUCACUGUAUCAUGAUCCUGACUGCAAUUAGGCUUCCUAAUGU